AGCGAACGCUGGCGGCAGGCCUAACACAUGCAAGUCGAACGAACUCUUCGGAGUUAGUGGCGGACGGGUGAGUAACACGUGGGAACGUGCCUUUAAGUUCGGAAUAACUCAGGGAAACUUGUGCUAAUACCGAAUGUGCCCUUCGGGGGAAAGAUUUAUCGCCUUUAGAGCGGCCCGCGUCUGAUUAGCUAGUUGGUGAGGUAAAGGCUCACCAAGGCGACGAUCAGUAGCUGGUCUGAGAGGAUGAUCAGCCACAUUGGGACUGAGACACGGCCCAAACUCCUACGGGAGGCAGCAGUGGGGAAUCUUGCGCAAUGGGCGAAAGCCUGACGCAGCCAUGCCGCGUGAAUGAUGAAGGUCUUAGGAUUGUAAAAUUCUUUCACCGGGGACGAUAAUGACGGUACCCGGAGAAGAAGCCCCGGCUAACUUCGUG
rnacentral:rRNA from 1 species